UUAACAAAAACAUGUCUUUUUGAUUAUUAUUUAAAGUCUGGUCUGCCCAAUGAGUGGUUCUUAAAUGGCCGCGAUAUCUUGAUCGUGCGAAGGUAGCAUAAUCAUUAGUUUUUUAAUUGAAAGCUGGAAUGAAUGAUUGAACGAAAAACUAUCUGUCUCAAUUUUAUUUUUUGAAUUUUAUUUUUGAGUUAAAAAGCUCAAAUCUUAUUAUAAGACGAGAAGACCCUAUAGAGUUUUAUAUUUUUUUUAUUUACUUAUGUUUUGGGUUUAAAACAAUUUAAUUAAUUAAAAUUAUUUAGUUGGGGUGACUGAAAAAUUUUUUAACUUUUUCUCUUCUAAAUACGAAUUUGUAGAUUUUUGACUUAUUGAAUUUGGUUAUAAGAUUAAAUUACCUUAGGGAUAACAGCGUAAUUAUUUUUUAGAGUUCUUAUUGAAAAAAUAGAUUGCGACCUCGAUGUUGGAUUAAAGUUAAAAUUUGGUGUAGAAGCUAAAUAUAUUUAGUCUGUUCGACUAUUAAAACUUUACAUGAUCUGAGUU
rnacentral:rRNA from 1 species